rnacentral:rRNA from 1 species
AGCUCCAAUAGCGUAUAUUAAAGUUGCUGCAGUUAAAAAGCUCGUAGUUGGAUUUGUGGCGCGGCCGUCCGGCGGGGGUCCUUCUAUGGUCUCGUUUGUCCUGGUUUUCGGCCGCUCCUUUCUCGGGUAGAGCGUAAUGGCUGGCAUUAGGUUGUCGGCCGCUUCGCGCCCGUCGUUUACUGUGAAAAAAUUAGAGUGUUCAAAGCAGGCUUAUGCCGUUGAAUAUGUUAGCAUGGAAUAAUAAGAUAGGACCUUGGUACUAUUUUGUUGGUUUGCGCACCAAGGUAAUGAUUAAUAGGGACAGUUGGGGGUAUUCGUAUUUCAUUGUCAGAGGUGAAAUUCUUGGAUUUUUGAAAGACGAACUACUGCGAAAGCAUUUACCAAGGAUGUUUUCAUUAAU